UACAGAGGUGGCAAGCGUUGUUCGGAAUUACUGGGCGUAAAGGGCGCGUAGGCGGCCAUCUAAGUCAGACGUGAAAUCCCCCGGCUUAACCUGGGAACUGCGUCUGAUACUGGACGUCUUGAGUAUGGGAGAGGGAUGUAGAAUUCCAGGUGUGGCGGUGAAAUGCGUAGAUAUCUGGAGGAAUACCGGUGGCGAAGGCGGCAUCCUGGACCAUUACUGACGCUGAGGCGCGAAAGCUAGGGGAGCAAACGGG
rnacentral:rRNA from 1 species